AAAUUCCUUUACUGUUACUUCUUUCCCUGGCUUCUUAAGCAUGAUUAUGUUUUACAAAUGUCUGUAUUUAGCCAGUUCUUGAUUUUCUUUUGACACAGCUCCAAGGCCACCAGCUAUGCAAGGCCACAAGUUAUGCACUAUAUGAUUAACUGCUUUUGUUUUACUUUUGUAAGUCCACUUAUAAAAACCCUGCUCUGUCUUUGUUUAAUGCUCAGGUUUUUGGAUAUAAAUCCACUCAGCCAGUGCGUACCUAAAAAUAAAUAUCUUCCUGUACUCUCAUAUUGGUCUCGCCAUUCCUCAGUUUCCUGCAACAUUUCUUGGCAAGCCAGCCAGGAGUGGAGAUGACAGGCUUACUGUCUCCUUUGCCUAUAGGGGGCUGGAGCCCUGGGCCAAGGGAGACCUGUGACCCCAGGUGCCGCCGGGAGAACUUCAGCCCAGAGGGGAAAUCAGCUCUCCGUGACCCAGCACCCCUACCCAGCAGCGCAACAGAUCCUGAGAGGAGCUACAGGAUGAUUCUAGAAACAGCGCACUUCAGGAAUCAUGUUGCAGGUGUUGUGCAUUGGAUCCACCACAGUCGGCUGAAACUGACAACUCAAGACAAGUGGACCAGCCAGCAGGACCCAGAUCAUCCAACUCGGCUGAUCCUGAGACGGGACCAAACUGCUGCCGAAGACGACCGCCCUGUUCUGGUCACUCCGGAGGCUAACCAGCCUACGCAUGGCUGAAGUUUGAGGAAACAACAAGCCCUGCUCUAGUCACACACUGAAAGCUGACUAGUCUAUGCACGGCCAAAGCUUGAGGACUCAUCAAGCAAGUAAAUGUAGUUAGAAAUCUUAGAACUAGUAGUUUUCCUUGUAAUAUUAACUGUUUUACUAUUGUUCUGUCACUGUGCUCAACCUCCUCUCCCAAAUAAGGACCUCUUCUGUCCUUACUAGAUAUGAAUAUACUGUACAUUGUUUUACUGUUGUUACCCCACUUAACCAUGCUAGAAGAAACACCCAUAGAAGGGUGUCCCCAUCGUACACAUACUACAUGGUCAGAAAACAGUAUAACCAGGACUCUAUUAUACCAUACUUAUUAUGAGUAUACAGGGACUCACCUAGGAACUUGUACUUACAAUCAGAUCACCUAUUCAAUUUAUGACCCAGGAAAUGGCCAGCUACCUAGGUGGAAGAUAGGUCAUGGAGUUACCGUACUCCUACUUACGUGCUUAAGCGCAUCAUAAGGUUACAGGCAGGGCUUGAGAUCAUCACUAAUAAACAUCAAAUGCAUUAGAUUUACUGACCCAGCAAGCUACAAAAAAUGAGGAAUGCUAUCUAUCAGAACAGAUUAGCUUUAGACUAUCUCCUAGCCCAGGAAGGAGGAGUAUGUGGAAAAUUCAAUCUAACUAAUUGUUGCCUGGAAAUCAAUGACAAUGGAAAGACAUUUAUGGAAAUAACUGCAAGAAUAAGAAAAUUAACCCACGUUCCAGUUCAAACGUAGAAAGGGUGGUCUCCAGAUUCUCUCUUUGGAGGCUGUUUUUCAUUUUUCGGAGGGUUCAAGACUUUAAUAAGAUUGAUUCUGGCCAUACUAGGAAGUUGCCUAAUACUACCUUGUCUCUUACCUCUCCUUGUUAGAAACAUUCAGUCAACUAUAGAGGCAAUAGUAGCUAGGCAAACUACCAGUCAGCUAAUGGCUCUAUGUAAAUGUCAACCUUUGUCUAAAGAAGAAAACUUGUCUCUUCAUGCAAAAUUAAAUAAUAGUGAUGCCUCCUAUUAAAUUUCUUUUAUAAAAGGCAUCAAAGGGGGGAAACUGAGGCAGAAAUUUAAAAAUAAAUAUGCAUUCAUUCACUCCAAGAAAAGUUAACAGGCAAGGCAAGGGUUAAAAAGAAAAGAACAAGUUUUCCUCGGCCUAGCAAGCUCACUUCAAGGACAGUUAUAAGAUAAUGUUGUUUGAGAAGCCAAGUCCAAAGGAAUGGGUUCCAGACAUCCCUCCCCUCUAGAACAAGGUUGAAGGAAAAAAAAAAAAAAAGAAGAAGACAAAUUCCUUUACUGUUACUCCUUUCCCUGGCUUCUUAAGCAUGAUUAUGUUUUACAAAUGUCUGUAUUUAGCCAGUUCUUGAUUUUCUUUUGACACAGCUCCAAGGCCACCAGCUAUGCAAGGCCACAAGUUAUGCACUAUAUGAUUAACUGCUUUUGUUUUACUUUUGUAAGUCCACUUAUAAAAACCCUGCUCUGUCUUUGUUUAAUGCUCAGCUUUUUGGAUUUGAAUCCACUCAGCCGGUGCACACCUUAAAAUAAACAUCCUCCUGUACUCUCAUAUUGGUCUCUCCAUUCCUCAGUUUCCCACAAGAUUACAAGCAUGAGCCACCGCACCGGGCCCAUUUUAACCAUUUUCAAAUGGAGAAUUCAGUGGUAUUAGGUACAUUUAUAUUGUUGUGCAACCAUCACCACUAUCCAUCUACAGAACUCUUUUUAUCUUGUGAAACUAAAACUCUAUACCCAUUAAACACUAACUCCUCACUCCUCCCUUCCCUCAUCACUUGACAGCCAUCCUUCUACUUUAUGUCUCUAUUCAUAGGUAUGAGCUCCCCCAUGCCUGCCCAAAUCACUAAUCUAAAAGGAAAUGUCAAGCUGAGAACUUCUUAGGGCAAACCUGCCUCCCAUUCUAUUCAAAGUUACCCCUCUGCUCAGAGAUAAAUGCAUAUCUCAUUGCCUCCUUUGGAGAAGCUAAUCAGAAACUCAAAAGAAUGCAACCAUUUGUCUCUUUUCUACCUAUGACCUGGAAGCCCCCUCCCUGCUUUGAGCUGUCCCGCCUUUCUGGACCAAACCAAUGUUCAUCUUACAUAUAUUAACUGAUGUCUCAUUUCUCCCUAAAAUGUAUAAAACCAAGCUAUGGUCUGACUACCCUGGGCACAUGACAUCAGGACCUCCUGAGACUGCGCCAUGGGUGCACAUCCUCAACUGUGGCAAAAUAAACUUUAUUUUUUAUUUUUAUUUAUUUUUUAGAGACAGAGUCUCGCUCUGUAGCCCAGGCUGGAGUACAGUGAUGCAGUCUCGACUCACUGCAACCUCCACCUCCCAGGUUCAAACAAUUCUCGUGCCUCAGCCUCCUGAGUAGCUGGAAUUACAGGCUUGCGCCACCACACCCGGUUAAUUAGCAAAAUAAAUUUUCUAAAUUAACUAAGACUUGUCUCAAAUUACUGGGGUUAACAUUUUGGUAACCACAGAGGGACUCUGCAUGGAGGAACACUUGAACUUUGACAAAUCUUUUACUGGUGUUUGGUAUCAGCAUAAGCUAACUUUAUGAAUAGUUUGCUGAGGCCUGGGAGCACUCCUUCCAGAGAAUCCCUGCUCUCCCAAAGUUUGGUUGAGAUCUAAAGUUUAUUUUGCUGUACAACUCCCUCUUAUUUAUUUUUUUUUUUUUUGGAGUUUUACUUGCUUCCAACAAGAAAGGCAAGUUUUCCUGCUUCCAUGACAAUGGAAGGCAGGUAAUUCCUUUAUGGAGUUUGAGCUUGCUUCCAACAGAAAAGACUAUUUUUUUUUUCCUGCUUCUAGGACGUAGAGAGUAGUCUUCAGCCUGAGACCCAUCCCUAGGUAAGUAGCUGAAUUGAGGUUUUGUCUUGGCUAAAGUUAACAACCAAAUGGUCAUAAUUUCUCCUUACUGUUAAAGUGUUCAGUAAUCAUGUAAGUUGUGUGAUCAUUUGUUUUGUUUAACUGUUUUUCGUUGUUGUUGUUUCUGUUUUUGUUGUUGUUUGGGUCUUUGUCCCAUUAGGUUUGACCAACUCUAUCAGACUUGAUCAAAUCUGAAGGAAAGUUCCAAAUUAUGGGGAAGGCCUAUCAAAUACUUAAAUUCCCAUACACACACAAAAAGGUGGUAUGGUGGGGGAGAAAAACUGCCAGCAAAAAGAAAAAAGAGGUAAGAUUUUUGAUUUUGAGUACUACACGGGCUUUAUUUACAAGGCCACCUUUUAGCUAGCCAGGCCAAUCUGAAAGAGCAAUGGUUGUACUUCUGAAAUAGCAGCAAUUUUAAAAACAAAAGCAAACAAACAAAAAAUUAAAAACAAAAAAAUAAAGGCAGCAGCAGUGGCUCAUGCCUGUAAUCCUAGCACUUUGGGAGGCCGAGGCAGACGGAUUGCCUGAGCUCAGGAGUUCGCAACCAGCCUGGGCAACAUGGUGAAACCCUGCCUCUACUAAAAUACAAAAAAUUAGCCGGACAUGGCGGUGUGCACCUGUAGUCCCAGCUACUCAGGAGGCUGAGGGAGGAAAAUUGCUUGAACCCAGGAGGCAGAGGUUGUAGUGAGCUGAGACUGCACCACUGCACUCCAGCCUGGGCAACAGAGCGAGACUCCGUCUCAAAAAAAAAAAAAAAAAGAAAAUGAAAAUGAAAUACAAAAAUCAGCUGGGCAUGGUGGCACAUGCCUGUAAUCCUGCCUACUCAAGAAGCUGAGGCAGGAGAAUCACUUGAACCCAGGGGCAGAGGUUGCAGUGAGCUGAGAUCGUGCCAUUGCACUCCAGCCUGGGCAACAGAGCAAGACUCCAUCUCAAAAAAAGAAAAAAGAAAAGCAGAUGAAAUAGCACCAAUUUGUUCCAGUUGAAAUAUGGUAAUGAGAUUUAAAAACUUCUUUUUUUAAAGGAGCUCAUUUGUUAAAGCCAACUUAAUUAAAAGCUAACAUCCAAGAUAUGUGUGUAUAUGGGUGUGUGUGUUUGUAUUUAAAAGGUCUUCAUUGUUUGUUUGUUUUUUUCUCUCCUAGGACCUUGUCAUUCUUUUGAGCAAGGUUUUUCUUCUCAGUUGACUGAAUUCUGUUUUCUUCAUUUACUUCUGCUGUCUCUCCUUUCUCUUGCACCCUCUGCUGCAUGAGGGAACUGAAAUAGUUUAUAAUAGCCUGGGGUUCCUUUAAGAAAGUGGAGAAGGUGCCAAAAGUAUAAACAGACAAGUUCAUCUCAGCUUUUAAACUGCUUGCUUUUGUAUUGUGUUACAUGAUUUGUUGACUAAAAUAGUUAUUUGUAACAGAGGCUAGCCUUAGGUUUUUAAGGAAGAGUGUAUUCAACACUGAGAAACGUCUUUGUUUAAAAAAAAUUAUCUUUAAGUGCAGUGUAAAAACAUCACUUAGUCUAGCCUCAUAAUAAUUCUCCCUUUUUGGAAACCCAGGAUUUCGUAUAGGUUCUGCCUAGAGCUCAGAGAUCCAGUUAAAAGAUAGGUAGUCCCUAUGCAAAUAAAAUUGGUCUCCUUAUACAAUCCUAUGAUAGAUUUUUAUAAUUUUGUUUGAUUUCACAUUUAUCUUUAAUCUCCCUCUAGCACACCAGACUUUUCCUCUCUGUACCUUAUGAUGUAAAUUCUGUUAUUUGAUUUUCACCUGAGUUGUUUCCUUAAAUAGGCAAAUUUAAGGCUAUUUAGCUGACAACUGCCUAGGGUUGUGAAACAGGUUAUCAAGAACCUGAAAGUCUAAGAUAAAAAAAAAAGGUCUUUAUGAAUCUAUAAGAUGUACUUCUAUCAGCAUGCCAAUACAUCUACGUAUUUAUGUGUUGUGCACACAAUAUUUCACUACUGAAAAUAUAUAAAAGAGCUAAUUAAUUGGCUUAAAAAAACAAAAGUGCUUACAUCAGAUACUAAAGAAAACAAGACUAGUCAAAUGCUUUUUCAGGUUCACAGGACUUAAGUAAAAUCUUUAAUAAAUAAGCUGGAUUUAAAAUUAUUGGUAAAAUAAUAUUAGAAAUGUCUUAAGAAUUUGCCAGCAAUACAUUUUCGUUUGCAUUUACUUAUCAAGCAAUUUUAUACUUAUCCCAGCCAGAUACUAUAAGGUGUCAAAAUUUGGUAUAGAGGUUACAAAACUAAAAAACCAGCCCAAGACAGAAUUAUCUUUGCUGGUGUAAUCUUUAAUAAAUAAUACAUUGAUAUUGGUUUAAUAAAAAAGCUACAUCUUGAAUUUAGUAAGAUUAUCAUACUUUUUUUUUUUUUUUUGAGACAGAGUUUCACUCUUGUUGCCCAGGCUGGAGUGCAAUGGCAUGAUCUUGGCUCACCACAACCUCCACCUCCCAUGUUCAAGUGAUUCUCCUGCCUCAGCCUCCCAAGUAGCUGGUAUUACA
rnacentral:lncRNA from 1 species